rnacentral:rRNA from 1 species
CCUACGGGUGGCAGCAGUGAGGAAUAUUGGUCAAUGGGCGUAAGCCUGAACCAGCCAAGUCGCGUGAGGGACGAAGGUUCCAUGCAUUGUAAACUUCUUUUGUCAGGGAAUAAAGUGCGGGUCGAGUCCCGUUUUGAAUGUACCUUAAGAAAAAGCAUCGGCUAACUCCGUGCCAGCAGCCGCGGUAAUACGGAGGAUCCGAGCGUUAUCCGGAUUUAUUGGGUUUAAAGGGUGCGUAGGCGGCCUUUUAAGUCAGCGGUUAAAGCCCGGGGCUCAACCAUGGGAGUGCCGUUGAAACUGGGAGGCUUGAGAAUGUGAGAGGCAGGCGGAAUGCGUGGUGUAGCGGUGAAAUGCUUAGAUAUCGCGCAGAACCCCGAGUGCGAAGGCAGCCUGCC